UCCCUGAUGGUCCAGUGGCUAAGACUUUGUGCUCCCAAUACAGAGGGCCUGGGUUUGAUUCCUGGUCAGGGAA
rfam:TPA: Bos taurus chromosome 29, whole genome shotgun sequence.